rnacentral:ncRNA from 2 species
ACUACCUUUACAUCACAAGGCCCCGUGCGAACGGGUUAAUAGGGAACGCCGUGCGUUCUGGCAGGGCUUAUCAGGGUCCGGGAACAAGUCGGUGGCUGCCCCCGCAACUGUAGGCGGAGAGAUUCCGGAUCGUAUGUCCUUAUGACAGGACCCGUCACUGGCUAUGACGAACAGGCUGGGAAGACUGAACCGGUAUUGACGACCCGUAAGCCAGGAGACCUGCCUUUGUGACGUAACCAGU